CCUUCCUCUCCGUACUGCAUAAUUCUCUAAAUGAAACGGGGUUUAUUCCUUUAAGGAAGAAUGCCCCUCUUACCCCCACUCCAUUAAACGGUCACUAUAGCAACAAUUUUCCUUUGACUUCCAAGUAAAGCAAAUUAAUUUUAAUUCGAACUUCCUUAACACUACCGUGCGCCCCUUCUUAAGCGCCACAUAACGUGGUGUGUGGAAAUGCCAUAUUUUCAAUUUAAUAAAAAAUUGAAGGCAUUUACUAGUAAUGUUCACUAGUUGCCUACCCAUUUGAAAUAAAAAAAGGUAGCACACGAGGAAGAAAAAUAUGACUAGUGUCUCGCAGGAAAAUACACUAUGCAGGUAUAAAACUCUGACGGCACGAUUGAGGUAUUCAAUCAUGUGUUUUGUUUCCGAGAAAUAUCUUUUUUUUUCUUAUUUAACAUUUUCAGUGUUGUUUUUUUAUAAUCGUAUUUCCGGUAAAUUCAAGUUGCGUGACUUCUGUUAGCAGUUACCAGCUCAGCUAGUACAAAAUUGGUGAAAUAAGCUCAUUUUCUAUUUGAUUUGUUUGUUGUUGUUUAUAGCGUUGUGUAAGAAAAGUAGCUGGGACUGUUUUAUGGUGAUUGCGUAGAAAAAAUAAACUUAUUACACCACCGAUCCUGAUUGCGACAACUGCUCGGAUGACAAUUUUCUAACUUUCCUUGACUAACUGACACUUUCCUAACUGAAUCCAUCGCAUCAGCAAGCCCGGUUUGUCCAUCAUUCAACAUGCAUUUCUAGGUUACUUAUCGACAAUAAUUAUUUAAUUUGUUAUAUAUAGAAGAAUAAUAUGGGGGGGGAAAUCUCAAAUUCAGCAACUUGCUGCAUUUCAGAGAAUUUUGAUCUCCAUGCUGAUGGGUUGGUCCCCAUGGUCUGCUGAUCACAUACAGUAGGAGUUAAUGAUUAUUAUUGACAAAUGUAACUGGUAUAAACAAACUUUUUAUGAUGGUAUGAACUGAUGGUUUGUUCACUGGUAUAAACAAAAUUUUGUCAACACUUAGACUGUAGAAUGACUAUGUUGUUCUGCUGUUUGGACAUAUUAGGCACAAGUAAAGAAAUGUUAAAUAAUUAAUUAGAACAAAGUGAGAGUUAUAAUAAAUGUGACUUGAAAGGAAACUUUUUAAAGAGUGGCCUCUAGCGUUAGUCCUGUGAAGAUACACUUUGUUCGGCUUAGUUCGGCUUCGAUUUCCUUAAUAAAACAUGAACUACUUUUUUAAAUCUAAUUUUGCCAUAAAUAUAGUACAGUAAAACAGGAGAUGUGAAUUCAGAAAGGAAAAUACGAAUGGGUGCUUAUCAGACAGAAAUUAGUAUUUUCCCAGAAACGAUGUUCUAAUGUCAUUAUUGGGCACGAAGAAGACGUGCUAUUUUGUUACAUGCCCUCAUUAUGGAGAGCAUCUGUACCAUCUGUUUAUCAAUUAAUGAAUGAGUUAACCCUCUCUUAUCUCAUACCGCAACCAGUGACCCAUCUAUUGUGAAUGAAAUGGCACCAAUCUGUGGCAUUUCUUCAGCUAAACUUUGGGAUCCUUUUCUUGUGGUGUAAAAUGUAAAUUAUUUCCUAUGUACGGGCACUGUUGUAGACGAGCAGGAGCCUCGAGAUCCUGGCCGAAUGCUGACAGGUACCUGCGUUUACAUUAAUCCCUGGCUUGAUGUUUCACAGUAAAGGCUGCGGAUUCAUAACCUUUCAGCUGUGAACUGCUGUCUGGCAAAGUGAUGCUUGGCUUGGGCCAUCAAGAGAAAAUUGUAAUUGCUGGGAAGAAAUGGAAAAAUAAAUAGCAAGAACACAGAUAAAAUCUUCAUGCAACCUCUGGUCAAAAAUCUGCAUGGAUUGACGACUUGUGAAGGUCUUUGGUGUCUGUAUUGGUCUUCUUUCCGCCCUUGGGACUCUGCUGGAUGGUCAAGUUUCAUGCACACUGGUGUGACUUGAGAUUCUGUCCAUGCUGUCACGUCCCGGGAGACAUCGCUUCCAACCUUAAGCCAGUAACCAUGGCAACCCACAGCCAAAUGGCAGCGCCCUAAGGAACUGUAAUGAUGGGGGAUGUCUCAGCUGUCAGCUGCCCCAUCAGCCAAUCCUGCAUUUAUAAUGUGGGCCAGAUUACAGAAGUGUUUGGAGGCAAGACUGUCCAUAUUACAAGAGCUUGAUCAACAGCUAAGUAACUGUGUUUAAAAUCGGGUUAAAUGGUACAAUUGCAGUUAGUAUUUUGAUGUACUGAGUUAUCUCCUCUGUGCUUACUGUGGUCAAAAUUUUAAUUAACAUCAUGCAGGAUGGGGAUAUGGCAGUCCAUCACAGGACACACUGUCACACAAUACAGGAAAAUUAUUGACACCAGUUCACGUAACUGACUUUAUUUAAGAAAAACUAAACAUGGAGAAUGUGCACACUCUAUGCAUGCAGGAUUUAAACCCUGA